rnacentral:rRNA from 1 species
UACGUAGGGUGCAAGCGUUGUCCGGAAUUAUUGGGCGUAAAGAGCUCGUAGGCGGUCUGUCGCGUCGGCUGUGAAAACCCGGGGCUCAACCCCGGGCCUGCAGUCGAUACGGGCAGACUAGAGUGCGGUAGGGGAGACUGGAAUUCCUGGUGUAGCGGUGAAAUGCGCAGAUAUCAGGAGGAACACCGGUGGCGAAGGCGGGUCUCUGGGCCGUAACUGACGCUCAUGCACGACAGCGUGGGGAUCAAACAGG